UCCCCUACCUUACCAGACUCCGUUGCGAUGGAAGGAGAUGGAGCAGCGGCAGAAAAAGCACCGGCGGCAGACGCCGUCGCCACGAGCCAAGAGGAACCAACUCCGUCCUCCUCUUCCUCCACCAAGAGCCCUUUCGACCCCUGCAUCUCGGCAGCGGCGGCGGCGGCGACGUCACCCGGCGAGAUCCUCCGAGCGCUGCAAGUGGUGGAGAGGGAUUCCGUCGCCAUCGCCGAGAGCUACGCCUCCCUCUUCUCCUCCCUCCGCAUCGCUCUCUCCGAGGUCACUAGUACUUCACUUGAAAACAUGCAAUGCUUCAAUGAUGUCGUUGGCCGCCUACAAGAAUCUGCUCUUGAUGCCGCAACAAAGGGAAAUCGGUACAUAAAUUCCUGCCUGAGAUUGAAUGAGGAAAUGAAAAGCUUGGAAAGUCUGGCUCUGCAGUUAAAGAUAUUAAGGAAGAACGUGGACAAUCUGGAUGUGGCUGUAAACCGAGUACUCCGACUUCCCUGAGUCGGCACCAUCUGCGAGCAUUUGAAGAUGAGUUUUAUAGAAGCCUGAAAGAUGCUGUGAUGGAAGUACAUAAGAAGGAUAUAAUGAAUUGCGGCUCCUGAAACCAAACGAGUGCACCUGGCGCUUCCUCGGCUAAGAUCGUUGUUCAAGUACAUCGACUUAGGCUUGGACAAAGCUCCACUCGACCACCAAUAGUGAGUAACAUCAGUGCCAGCCUGAGCCAGAGAGGACACUGCAGCGAGAUCUCCUCUGGCGAUACAGCUACUUGAAUGGUUUCACCGAUUCACUACAUCUCAUAAGUUGACGACGUUUCAUCUCAGUCAGUGCAUGCACUUCAUCGUCCCGGCUGUGCAUCAGGGUCGUGUAUUGACCGGUAGGUAGAUAGAUAGCAGCCUGCUUGUGAGGUGUAGGAUCCAAGAAAACAAACAAAGCAAUACAAGUUGCAAAAGUCCAAAAAAAAAAAGACAAGAGGCAGCACUAAAUUAUAUAUCACCUACUGAUAAGACACCCAUUACAAGGACAUCUAAAGAUCACCAUCAUUGAUAUUGCUACAAAGGAACAAUAGGUCAUCACCCACCACUUUGAAACGACCAACCAUUCUCAUGGGAUCCCAAGAACCACUUUUCUGCUAUACCAUUCCCUUUCUACACCACUGCUACUUUAUCCAUCACAUGGCAGAACACUUGGAAUGACAUUUUCAAUAUGACAUGGCCACGUGAAGGGGGCAUGGAUUAUAGGCAUUGCUGGCAACUUAAUUCUCAGGAAUCUUAACCUACAAAUUGUGGUCCCUCGUAAGCUAAUUAUGCAUACUACGUGGAGUCAUUACCUCUCUCCGUGUUCUUCGGACAUUUGUCUCUCUGUGAUUGGCUUUUCGAACCUAGUUUACUUGGAUUGGCGUGACAAUAAUGCUGCAGCGUAAUGGAAGCUAAAGGCCCCUUCAAUGAUCUGACGUGGAUAUGGACCAUACGGCAAUAAUGCUGCUCCCUGUUGUGGGGCUACUAUACAAAGGACUGUGAGUACGUUCACCAGUGACAGUGCACUGCCAUUCUCCUGUCUCAGUAAAAUUGUUGCACACAGGUAGAAUGUAACCCGGCUUUAGCUCGUCUUGUUUUCUGAUACAAGAUUCUCUAGGGGAUUGUCUGCAUGUAGCAGCUCCAUCGUUACAGUUGUUGCAGGUUCAAACACAACGUAGUUUUCUUGAUGUCUGCAAGUGAAAGUGACAUGGUAGCUUUGACCACUGGACCGCUUCAUUGAACUUUCAUAUUGGAGGAGAUACAAGUGUCGUUUAAGAGGGUUUAGGAAUGGAGUCCAUAGUGCAAGUUGAAGUUCCGUACUGGUAGAACUGGACCGCCAAUACAUGUGAAGAACUGCUUCAUUAAAGGACUGCUGAGGGAAGA